AUGAUGGCUUCUUCUUCAAGAAAAUAUCCGAACGGGCUAACGAUUACUAUCAUUGUGAUCAUCUUUUCUCUCACACUCUUUUCUUCCGUUUCAGAAGCUAAUUCAAUGGCAGUAAGAGAUGGAGAUCAUCAGCAGUUAGAAAACCAGAUGAAGAUGGUCUUGGGUUCAAAGCCUCCUGGGUGUGUUAACAGGUGCGUGGGUUGCAUCCUUGCACGCCCACUCAAGUUGUUUCUCCACCUGAUAAGAAUAAUAAUCUCAAGGCAACAAAUACAAAUCAGGGAGAUGAGGGCUAUUAUCUCCUCUCAUGGAAAUGCAAAUGUAGGAACAAGUUGUUCGAACCUUGA
rnacentral:lncRNA from 1 species